AACGAACGCUGGCGGCGUGGAUAAGACAUGCAAGUCGAGCGGGAACUUUCGCUGUAGCAAUACAGUGAAAGUUCUAGCGGCGAACGGGUGCGUAACACGUGGACAAUCUGCCUUAAAGUGGGGGAUAGCUCGGCGAAAGCCGAAUUAAUACCGCAUGUGAUGAGAGACGACAUCGUCUUGAAAUCAAAGCCGGGGCAACCUGGCGCUUUUUGAGGAGUCCGCGGCCUAUCAGCUUGUUGGUGAGGUAGCGGCUCACCAAGGCUAUGACGGGUAGCUGGUCUGAGAGGACGACCAGUCACACUGGAACUGAGACACGGUCCAGACACCUACGGGUGGCAGCAGUCGAGUAAUUUUUCUCAAUGGGGAAACCCUGAAGGAGCGACGCCGCGU
rnacentral:rRNA from 1 species